GGGAUAGUCAGGUACAUUAUAUUAUAUUAGUCAGGUACAGAUGCAUUAUAUUAGUCUUGUUGGGAUAGUCAGGUACAGAGAUAUAUUAUGUUACUCUUGUUGGGAUAGUCAGGUACAGAUAUAUUAUACUAGUCUUGUUGGGAUAGUCAGGUACAGAGAUAUAUUAUGUUACUCUUGUUGGGAUAGUCACGUACAGAUAUAUUAUACUAGUCUUGUUGGGAUAGUCAGGUACAGAUAUAUUAUACUAGUCUUGUUGGGAUAGUCAGGUACAGAGAUAUAUUAUGUUACUCUUGUUGGGAUAGUCAGGUACAGAUAUAUUAUACUAGUCUUGUUGGGAUAGUCAGGUACAGAUAUAUUAUACUAGUCUUGUUGGGAUAGUCAGGUACAGAUAUAUUAUACUAGUCUUGUUGGGAUAGUCAGGUACAGAUAUAUUAUACUAGUCUUGUUGGGAUAGUCAGGUACAGAUAUAUUAUACUAGUCUUGUUGGGAUAGUCAGGUACAGAGAUAUAUUAUGUUACUCUUGUUGGGAUAGUCACGUACAGAUAUAUUAUACUAGUCUUGUUGGGAUAG